rnacentral:rRNA from 1 species
UACAGAGGUCUCAAGCGUUGUUCGGAUUCAUUGGGCGUAAAGGGUGCGUAGGCGGCGCGGUAAGUCGGGUGUGAAAUCUCGGGGCUUAACUCCGAAACUGCAUUCGAUACUGCCGUGCUUGAGGACUGGAGAGGAGACUGGAAUUUACGGUGUAGCGGUGAAAUGCGUAGAUAUUGUCAAGAACACCUAUUGCGAAGGCAGCUUACUAAGCUGUAACUGACGCUGAGGCACGAAAGCGUGGGGAGCAAACAGG